UAUUAUGUAGUUUUCAAUUGGAAAAGCACUUGAUAUAUAGGUGGUAACAUGGGGGCAAGGGGCGCGGUUGAAGUGGAUUGAGAUGACUCCAUCUUAUGCAUGUCGUGAAUGACGCUGACAGAGUUGAAGUCAUUGGCAUGUACAAGUAUACUCUUCCCCUUUACCCUGGGCUCAGUGGAUAUGGCAUACUAAUCUUCCCAAGAAGAUUUCUAUCAUGAUGUGGAAGGCUACUAAUAACUGCCUCAGUGUUGACGAGAAUAUUAGUAUGGUGGGUGUUUCAAUGGCCUCUAAAUGUAAUUGUUGUCAAAAGGGUCAUACUGAGGACCUGAACCAUGUGCUCUGCACGGGAGAUUUCGCUAGACACAUUUGGCGUCUAGCGGCCACUCAUCUAGGGGUUCAUAUGGCCCCUUUCUACACUUGGAAGGAUCAAACUAAUUUUUGGUUUCGUCGUGCGGGUAAGUCUUCACAGGUUAGAAUCAUCUUUAGCCUUCUGCCCUCUAUUAUUUCCUGGAAACUUUGGGAGAGGCGCUGUAAAGCCCGGUAUGAAGAUAAGGCUCACUCAAAAGAGUCGGUUUGGCACGCUAUUAAACUUUGGCUCCGGCGCAUCAUGGACCAGAUCAUGAAAGUACCAAUAAUUUUGCAGAACUCAGCAGCUUAUUGGAAGGUGUUCGCAGAUGUCACGCGCUUGGAUUUUAUCGUGUUCAAAUAGAGACUGACUCUCAACUGGUGGUCAAUUGGAUUGUUAAGAAUAAGUGCCCCAUUUGGUAUUUAGAAGACUUUUGGGAAGAUUUACAAGGACAUCUUAAUAGCCUGGAGUAUACAGUAACUCACAUUUUUCGUGAAGGCAAUGUUGUGGCUAACUUUCUAACUAAGUGUGGGGCUGAAGGUUUGAACUCUGAUUGGUCUGAUAUUCACAUGUUGCCUAGCCUGUUAAGGGGUCUUCUCCGCAUGGACAAAUUGGGUAUGCCCUACCUGAGGAUAUCAUAAGCCUCUUGCCAGGUACUGCAAGUCUGCACCACCAGAUCAGAAGAACGAGAUGAAGGAGCUAGAAGACUCUGGACUGAUUUGAUGAUAACAGAAUUCCUCAUGAUGGUCCUAGGUCUGUUUGUAAAUGCUAAAUGAAAUGCUUAUUAAAUGUAAAUUUAUUUAUCUUGCAACAGUUUGUAUAAAUAGGACCAAAGGUUCCCUACAUGGCACACGAUGGAAAACCGAUACUUGUAAAUUUC